CAGCCGCCGCGGUAAUACAGAGGGUGCAAGCGUUAAUCGGAAUUACUGGGCGUAAAGCGCGCGUAGGUGGUUUGUUAAGUUGGAUGUGAAAUCCCCGGGCUCAACCUGGGAACUGCAUCCAAAACUGGCAAGCUAGAGUAUGGUAGAGGGUGGUGGAAUUUCCUGUGUAGCGGUGAAAUGCGUAGAUAUAGGAAGGAACACCAGUGGCGAAGGCGACCACCUGGACUGAUACUGACACUGAAGUGCGAAAGCGUGGGGAGCAAACAGGAUUAGAUACCCCAGUAGUCCCUGUCUCUUAUAU
rnacentral:rRNA from 1 species